rnacentral:rRNA from 1 species
UAGGGAAUCUUCCGCAAUGGACGCAAGUCUGACGGAGCAACGCCGCGUGAGUGAAGAAGGAUUUCGGUUCGUAAAACUCUGUUGUUAGAGAAGAACAGCGCAUAGAGUAACUGUUAUGCGUGUGACGGUAUCUAACCAGAAAGCCACGGCUAACUACGUGCCAGCAGCCGCGGUAAUACGUAGGUGGCAAGCGUUGUCCUGAUUUAUUGGGCGUAAAGCGAGCGCAGGCGGUCAAUUAAGUCUGAUGUGAAAGCCCCCGGCUCAACCGGGGAGGGUCAUUGGAAACUGGUUGACUUGAGUGCAGAAGAGGAGAGUGGAAUUCCAUGUGUAGCGGUGAAAUGCGUAGAUAUAUGGAGGAACACCAGUGGCGAAGGCGACUCUCUGGUCUGUAACUGACGCUGAGGCUCGAAAGCGUGGGUAGCAAACAGG